UACGUAGGGACCAAGCGUUGUUCGGAUUUACUGGGCGUAAAGGGCGCGUAGGCGGCAAUUCCAGUCAGUUGUGAAAUCUCCGAGCUUAACUCGGAACGGUCAACUGAUACUGUUUUGCUAGAGUACAGAAGGGGCAAUCGGAAUUCUUGGUGUAGCGGUGAAAUGCGUAGAUAUCAAGAGGAACACCUGAGGUGAAGACGGGUUGCUGGGCUGAUACUGACGCUGAGGCGCGAAAGCUAGGGUAGCAAACGGG
rnacentral:rRNA from 1 species